GGGCCUCUAGCUCAGUUGGUUAGAGCAACUGGUUUACACCCAGUAGGUCGGGGGUUCGAAUCCCUCGGGGCCCA
rnacentral:tRNA from 1 species